rnacentral:lncRNA from 1 species
CUGGUUUUGAGAGUGGUGAAGCUGUUCUCUGUAAUGGUCGUUGUUUGUCUCAAGAAGUUCCACUCGAAUUUUGUUAUCUUGCAGUGCGGUCUCGAGUUCUUCUAUUUUCCCUUUCAACUCUUCGAUCCUGCUCAGACUAGCCUUUAGCUUAAUUAUCGAAUUAUGGCUACGAUGUUACUGAAGUAAUCUUUCCAAUUCAGCCACCCGAGCUCGUAAAUUCUCCUUUUCGUUUUGGGUUUCUAACAAACUCUUCUUCAGAGUGUCCUCUCGUACUCGGGCAUCUUGAAAUCUUUUAUCCCAAUGGUCGGCUCUAGUCUUUUUCUCUUUAAUCUCUUGACG